rnacentral:rRNA from 1 species
UACGGGGGGAGCAAGCGUUGUUCGGAUUUACUGGGCGUAAAGGGCGCGUAGGCGGCCACCGCAAGUCGGUUGUGAAAUCUCUGGGCUUAACCCAGAAAGGUCAACCGAUACUGUCGGACUAGAGUGCAGAAGGGGCAACUGGAAUUCUCGGUGUAGCGGUGAAAUGCGUAGAUAUCGAGAGGAACACCUGCGGCGAAGGCGGGUUGCUGGGCUGACACUGACGCUGAGGCGCGAAAGCUAGGGGAGCGAACGGG